rnacentral:tRNA from 2 species
CGGGGAUUGGCGCAGCUGGUAGCGCGCACGCAUGGGGUGCGUGAGGCCGCCGGUUCAAAUCCGGCAUCCCCGACUA